AGUUGAUGAGCUUGAAUAAGCAUAUGUUUUGAAAACAUAAGAUAGAAAUAGAAAUUUCUAUCGACUU
rnacentral:tRNA from 1 species